GGGGGGAAAUUAAUUAUAAAAUAGAUAAUAAAAGAAAUUUUAAUAUUAAAAUAUGAAUGGGGGUUAAAGUAUUUUAAUAGAAAAAAUUUUAAAAUUUAUAGUUAAUUAGUAUUGUAAAAGAUUUUUGAAAUAAUAAUGAAAAUAAAUUUAUUUAAAAGUAAUUUUUAUUUAAUGUAUCUUGUGUAUCAGAGUUUAUUAAUAAUUUUUUAUGUUUAUAAAUUUCUCAAAUUUAAAAGAGAUAAUUAAUUAUAAAAGUUAUUGUUGUAUAAAUAUUUUUAAUAAUUAAUUUGAAAUGAAAUGUUAAUCGUUUUUAAAGAUAUUUAGUUUUUUUAGAAAAAAAUUUAAUUUUUAAUAUUAAAAAAAAAAUAUUAAUUAAUUAAUAUUUUUUUUUUAAUAUUUAAUAUUUUAGGGGAUAAGCUUUAAAUUAAAUUUUUAUAAUAUAAUUAUUUUUUUUUUAUUAAAAAUUUUAUUAUUUAUAUUGUAAAAAAAUUUUAUUUUAUUAUAAAUAAUUUUAUUAAAAUUUAAAAUUUAAUUAAAAUUUAAUUUUUUAUAAAAAAAUAAUUUUUAAUUAAAUAAUUUUAGUUAUAAUGAUAAAAUUAGUAUAUAAAUUAAUUAAUAUUUAAAAAUUUAUUUAAAUAAAUUAGUUAAAAGGAAUUCGGCAAAUAUAUAUAUUCACUUGUUUAUCAAAAACAUGUCUUUUUGUUAAAAAUAUAAAGUCUAAUCUGCCCACUGAUAAAUUAUUAAAGGGCUGCAGUAUUUUGACUGUACAAAGGUAGCAUAAUCAUUAGUCUCUUAAUUGGUGACUUGUAUGAAAGAUUGGAUGAAAUAUAAACUGUCUUUUAAUUAAAUAUAGAAUUUAAUUUUUUAAUUAAAAAGUUAAAAUAAAUUAAAAAGACGAGAAGACCCUAUAGAGUUUUAUAGUUAAAUUAUUUAAAUUUAUUUAUAAAUUUAAUAAAUUUUGAUUAAUUUAAUUAUUUUAUUGGGGGGAUAAAAAAAUAUAAUUAACUUUUUUUAAAAUUGAACAUCAAUAAGUGAAUUUUUGAUCCAAUAAUAUUGAUUAAAAGAAAAAAUUACCUUAGGGAUAACAGCGUAAUUUUUUUUUUUAGUUCAUAUAAGAAAAAGAGUUUGCGACCUCGAUGUUGGAUUAAGAUAAAAUUUGAAUGCAAAAGUUCAAAAUUUUGAUCUGUUCGAUCAUUAAAAUCUUACAUGAUCUGAGUUCAAACCGGUGUGAGCCAGGUUGGUUUCUAUCUUUUAAUAAAUAAAAUAUUUUAGUACGAAAGGAUCAAAUAUUUAAAUUAAAUUUAUAUUAAUGAAUUUUAUUAAAUUUAAUUUUAUAUUAAAUAUAUUGUAAAAUAUAUUAUUUUAGUAAA
rnacentral:rRNA from 1 species